GACGUCUCCACCUGUGGACAGGUACCUGUCAAUCACCUGCAGCUGCUUCUGAUCACAGGCCUUCAGGAAAUCCUCCUCGUCCACGUAGUAUGGCUGAGACAGAAGAGACGCUGUAACUGAUCACCUGCUCAGGUUUUGUCCCCGACAUUUUCUGAUGUAAGUGAAUGAAUGAGUGAAUGAACGAGCCUCAGAGCGACAGGAGAUCCAUCUGCACUGAUGUUAAAUGAGAAAAGUUUCAGGAGCAAAGCAGAAAAAGAAAACAAAGCCGUCGAGGUGUGUGAGGGUCGUACCACUGAGCGGACAGCAGGGGGAGCAGCA